GACGAACGCUGGCGGCGUGCCUAAUACAUGCAAGUUGAGCGAUGAAGAUUGGUGCUUGCACCAAUUUGAAGAGCAGCGAACGGGUGAGUAACGCGUGGGGAAUCUGCCUUUGAGCGGGGGACAACAUUUGGAAACGAAUGCUAAUACCGCAUAACAACUUUAAACAUAAGUUUUAAGUUUGAAAGAUGCAAUUGCAUCACUCAAAGAUGAUCCCGCGUUGUAUUAGCUAGUUGGUGAGGUAAAGGCUCACCAAGGCGAUGAUACAUAGCCGACCUGAGAGGGUGAUCGGCCACAUUGGGACUGAGACACGGCCCAAACUCCUACGGGAGGCAGCAGUAGGGAAUCUUCGGCAAUGGACGAAAGUCUGACCGAGCAACGCCGCGUGAGUGAAGAAGGUUUUCGGAUCGUAAAACUCUGUUGGUAGAGAAGAACGUUGGUGAGAGUGGAAAGCUCAUCAAGUGACGGUAACUACCCAGAAAGGGACGGCUAACUACGUGC
rnacentral:rRNA from 2 species